AAAAUCAACCCCUCGGGUUUUCCAACCUGGGGUGGCUUGGAACUGGGCGCUGCCGCUUGACUGCCGGCUCGCCUCAAAGGUCUCAGUGGGAAGAUCGACCCAUGCCAGACGUGAUAAGUUUCGUCCGGCUACGUCGUGAAGCCUGCUCACAACCAACACUACUAUCUCUU
rnacentral:misc_RNA from 1 species